GGGUUCGUAUACCGUCUGACGUGUUUAUUUUUCCUGUCGUUUUUCAGGACUACACAUACCAGGCAGCCCUGGCUGAGCUGACUGGCUACCUUGUUCAGGCACCCAGCAGUAGGCAGAACAUAUACUGGACCAUGGUUAAGCUGCUACCAAAGCUAAGAGAGGCAUACUACUCCCAUUCAAACCAGCAGGUAAGACA